CGGCGGACGGGUGAGUAAUGCCUAGGAAUCUGCCUGGUAGUGGGGGACAACGUUUCGAAAGGAACGCUAAUACCGCAUACGUCCUACGGGAGAAAGUGGGGGAUCUUCGGACCUCACGCUAUCAGAUGAGCCUAGGUCGGAUUAGCUAGUUGGUGGGGUAACGGCUCACCAAGGCGACGAUCCGUAACUGGUCUGAGAGGAUGAUCAGUCACACUGGAACUGAGACACGGUCCAG
rnacentral:rRNA from 1 species